rnacentral:rRNA from 1 species
UACAGAGGUGGCAAGCGUUGUUCGGAAUUACUGGGCGUAAAGGGCGCGUAGGCGGUUCGUUAAGUCCUGUGUGAAAUCCCCCGGCUCAACUGCGGGCUUGCAGCCGAUACGGGCAGGCUAGAGUUCGGUAGGGGAGACUGGAAUUCCUGGUGUAGCGGUGAAAUGCGCAGAUAUCAGGAGGAACACCGGUGGCGAAGGCGGGUCUCUGGGCCGAUACUGACGCUGAGGAGCGAAAGCGUGGGGAGCGAACAGG